CACUGAAACAUUAGUUCCCGUACGAUCUCCGAAUUUAAGCAACGUCGGGUCUACUCAGUACCCCACAUGGGUGACCGCUUGGGAAUAUCAGGGGCUGUU